CAGAGACUGCAAGCGUUAUUCGGAUUCACUGGGCGCAAAGGGUGCGCAGGCGGUCGGGUGUGUCAGAUGUGAAAUCCCGAGGCUCAACCUCGGAACUGCGUCUGAAACUACUCGACUAGAGUACUGGAGAGGGUAACGGAAUUCACGGUGUAGCAGUGAAAUGCGUAGAUAUCGUGAGGAACACCAGAGGCGAAGGCGGUUACCUGGACAGUUACUGACGCUCAGGCACGAAAGCAUGGGGAGCAAAAGGGAUUAGAUACCCCUGUAGUCCAUGCCCUAAACGGUGCACACUAGGUCUUAGCGGAUUCGACCCCACUAGGGCCCAAGCUAACGCGUUAAGUGUGCCGCCUGAGGGCUACGGUCGCAAGACUA
rnacentral:rRNA from 1 species